UUUCUUGAUCCAUUCUCUUCCACACUCUCGUACAGCUAGCAUCCUCUCACAUCUACCUAACCUUAUCUCUCUAUCUGUUCAGACAAAAAACCCAUCUCCGACAGUAGAACUCGUCAUCUGCCAUUACAGUGUUGAGAUCUUCUUUAAUUCGUAGAAGAUCUCAACCCCUAAACCGAUUGCAGUAAGAUCCGAUUAGGGUUCAUUUGUGAAAACCACACUGAGAUCGGUUUAGUUGUUGUUCGAGGAUCUGAACUAUUAAUCUCCGAUCUUGGUUUUUAGAAUCGGAUCGGCAUUUUUAAGGUUCUAACGUCAAGCUUCGUAUCUCAAUCUUCAAUUACUAUCCUAUUCGACUACAUCAGAUGUAAGAUCAAGCAGAUCAGAAAAUGGGUCCGUACAGUGUUCAUGACUUAGAUGCAGAUUAAAGGACUGAAAUGCAAGAUAAGUUUAAGAAGGUGUAGUUGUUAGAUCUAUAUGUACACAUUCAAAGGUGGGAAGGUAAGCAGGCAUCAACAGAGUUCAAUAGGUGUAAAUUUGUGCAAUGAACCAAAAAUUCUUAGUUCACCUGAUUCGUCUGAAAGUUUCUGUUACAUCCCGGUGACAUGCAAGAAAUGUACAUCCAUCCGAAAGAACCUUCAUUGCAACAAUUUCAGCAGAUUAGAUACUGUAGUUACAGUCAAAGCACCCUGGUAAAGUCAUCUAGGCCUGCUGAUUGAGACAGCACUGUUGCUGUACUUAUACUGCGCAAAGGACUGUUUGGAGCAGUUAACCUACAGGUGAUACGAACUGAAGAUAAGGUGGAGUGGGAG